rnacentral:rRNA from 1 species
AUGGAGGGGCUUCUACAUUGGGAUUUCUCCCUUGGUCAAGCAGCGGAGACACAGGUGCGCAAAAGGUUUGGUUCUACCGUUCAUUUCUCCUCUAUUGGAGGUGCAAGAGAAUUCUUCCUAUUGGUGGCUUUUUCUUCUGCCUCCUUUCCUCUUUCGAUCGAAUCAGUGGGUCUUGCCCUCCAAUGUUGCAUUGGUGGAUCCUCCACGGGUUUCAAUGUCAAACAUCUUGCUGGUCGGCAGUUUCGUUUUUCUGUGGCAUCAAAUAAAGUUGGGCAUUUUGUGUAUGGUCUUAAGGACCGGGUCUGCCAGAUUUUGUUUGUCAUUUCAAUCUUUAUAGGCACAAUGCCUGGUUUAAUUCUCAUUCAGAUCAAAGUUGGCAUUCUGACCAUGAGCUUACUGAGUUGGUUUCACGUUCUCCUCUAG